GGCAUGAGCCACCAUGCCCGGCCCAGGGUUAAUCUUAUUUUGUAUAUUCUUUACACGCAAUCCCAUUUUCAGUUGUUUGUUUAGCAGUAUUGUACCUAUAAUCAAGGUUUUUAAGUAUGGUUAGUUACAACAGGAUUGAAGAAUAUGAGUUUGCUCAUUUGCUUUAUUUAUUUUCUAUCACCAUGUAUUUCCCAUGCAUAACACACAAGAAAUUGUCUAGAAAAGACAAAGUACAACAGUAUACUACUAUUAACACUGUUAGCAUGUACACGGUCAGUGAAAAAGCAUACCUAUUAGCCCUUUCUCCCUGGUGUUGGCAUUUAUUCUACUGCUCAUUGUAAGUGGUGAUUUAGGGUCUGUGUGGGGAAUAUCAAGAAGUCUCUAAAUUUGAUAGUCCCCAGUAUUCAAAACCUUUCCUGAGAAUUGACAUACUAAUUUAUACAGCACUGGAUUCGUUGAAUUAAUCUUAGAUUUACAUCAGUUUCUCCUGUGUCAGCCUCUUUCAGGACUCCCUCUACUGGAACACAAUUUGUAGCUGUAAAUUGCAGCUUGUAAUUAGUAUAUUAUGGCCUGUUGAGUAAUACUUUUAAAAAUACCACAUUUUUGUUUUUCAAACAGCAUUUGAAUUCUUCCUCAGUGCAAAUGAAAUGUAAAAUCUUGUUUGAUCAAAAAAUGCAAUGUUGAGAUCAGUGUCAACAAAGAAUGUCAUUUAAGAGAGAAUUUGUAAAGUACGAAGAUGACCACUCUGAAAGCCACAUGCCCCUGGCACCCUCUGAAGCACCUCAGUCCUCUCCUGACUCUUUAAAUGAUUCAUUCUGCCAUUUGCAUGAUUCCUCUGAAGAAAACCAAUUACUUAGUGUUCUUGAGGUGAUUGACUUGCAAAUAAUCUUGUGCUCUUAAAGCACAUUUUUGGUAAAUUUUCAAAUUUCUGAAAACUAGAAAUUAUUUCUUUAGUUGUAAUUGAGUGAGAUCAGAUAUUCACAGAUUAAUAGACUCUCAAAACCAGUAGGUGCUGCCUUCAUACCAAAGGUUUUACCAUGCUAGGAUAAACAUUCAUCUUCAAUUUUUUUGUUGUUAAAAAGCAUACUUCACAAGCAAUUUAUUAUCCCAGUCAUUUUAUCACAUACCUCUUCUGGAGCUUAGGGUCCCAGCCCCUUCUUGUCUCUUCUUUUGUGUCUCCCCACUUAUACCCCCACCACACUUUGGUGUUUUUGAGGUUUCUUAAUCUUAUGUAAAAUGUGCAUAAAAAGCAUUUUUAGAAAGCCUUGCCAUGUUUAUUGAUCUGUAACAUACAAUAUACAUAGUGUGCUUGCUGUAUUAACACAGCUCCAAGACAAGACCCCUAGCUUUCCUACAGCUCUACUAACUCCCCCAAAUCCCACUUCUGUAGAACUUUGGAGCUGUGGCACCUGUUGAGGUAAUGGUUACUUUCCUCAAAAGGUUGCCAUUACGAUGAUUGACUUCAAAAAGUAUAAAAAAAGUCUUUUGAAAAAUUGACAGUUCUCCCCACAAAGAGUUGAGUGAUUAGUCAGCUGCAAUUUCUUCUAACUUGUAGUUCCUUCUAAUAUAUGAUGUUGAGGUUUUAGAGAGAGCAAUUAAAAUAAAGUGGUCUAAUUAAA